UGUACAGGGGCAUACGGUCUAGGAUGCAGUUCGUCAUGCAGCGACAGACACUGUAAAGCUGAUGAUGCACCAUGUGAUCACGUGACUGGUUCCUGUGGUGGACCAUGUGAUGCUGGUUGGCAAGGAGAUACGUGCACAGCCAAAUGUGACACUGGUAAAUACGGUGAUAACUGUGCCAUGUUCUGCGCGAUCAGAAACUGCGUCAAUAAAGAUGUCUGUCCUCGUGAAGACGGAAAGUGUGUAAGUGGAUGUAUCUCUGGAUUUGAAGGACUGGACUGCUUGCGAGCCCAAGCUGUCACUCCCAACAGUGAUUCCACCACCAUUGCCGUUUCCGUUGUGGCGGGAGUGCUUUUUGUAUUGUUGGUCAUAGUGACGAGUGUUUUAUUCUGGCAAGUAGAUCAUCAUUUUAUC